ACGCCUUAUACAUGCAAGUCGAACGCAGUAGCAAUACUGAGUGGCAAACGGGUGAGUAUAAUGUGGGUAUCUGCCUUUUGGUUUGGAAUAACACGAGGAAACUUGUGCUAAUACCGAAUAAGCCUUCACAGGGAAAGUUUUAACGCCGAAAGAUGAGCCCGCACUUGAUUAGUUUGUUGGUGAGGUAAUGGCUCACCAAGACAAUUAUCAAUAGCUGGUCUGAGAGGACGAUCAGCCACAUUGGGACUGAGACACGGCCCAGACUCCUACGGGAGGCAGCAGUAAGGAAUCUUGCACAAUGGGGGAAACCCUGAUGCAGCGAUGCCGCGUGAGUGAAGAAGGCCCUUGGGUUGUAAAACUCUUUCGUCGGGGAAGAAAAUGACUGUACCCGAAUAAGAAGGUCCGGCUAACUUCGUGCCAGCAGCCGCGGUAAUACGAAGGGACCUAGCGUAGUUCGGAAUUACUGGGCUUAAAGAGCUCGUAGGUGGUUAAAAUAGUUGAUGGUGAAAUCCCAAGGCUCAACCUUGGAACUGCCAUCAAAACUUUUUAGCUAGAGUGUGAUAGAGGAAAGUGGAAUUUCUAGUGUAGAGGUGAAAUUCGUAGAUAUUAGAAAGAACACCAAAUGCGAAGGCAACUUUCUGGGUCACUACUGACACUGAGGAGCGAAAGCAUGGGUAGCGAAGAGGAUUAGAUACCCUCGUAGUCCAUGCCGUAAACGAUGUGUGCUAGACGUUGGAAAUAUAUUUUUCAGUGUCGCAGCGAAAGCAUUAAGCACACCGCCUGGGGAGUACGACCG
rnacentral:rRNA from 1 species